ACAGAGGUCUCGAGCGUUGUUCGGAUUCAUUGGGCGUAAAGGGUGCGUAGGUGGCGUGGUAAGUCUGGUGUGAAAUUCCGGAGCUUAACUCCGAAACUGCAUUUGAUACUGCGGUGCUUGAGGACUGGAGAGGAGACUGGAAUUUACGGUGUAGCAGUGAAGUGCGUAGAGAUCGUAAGGAAGACCAGUGGUGAAGGCGGGUCUCUGGACAGUUCCUGACACUGAGGCACGAAGGCCAGGGGAGCAAACGGGA
rnacentral:rRNA from 1 species